UCUUCCCUGCACCUAAGGGAGACCUGUGGGGAUCGAUCUUGUGUGAGGCCCCUAGGAAAUGGGACCUCACCUGUGUCAUAGCUUGAGCCCUGACACAGAUCCCCGGUUGGGGGAGUCGAGCUGAGGGAAAGCAGGAACCGAGAGAGGGACUAUGUUAUUCUAAAUAAUUAAUAGACAUUACUUUAUGGAUAUGAGGACUUGGGAGGCAAUGUGUCCACUUUUGGCUUCUUAUGGUUUAUUGCUUGAUUGUGUUCAUUUUGGACCCUUGUUACCUUCAUUGUAAAAUAUUAACUUAAGUAUUUACACUUGGUAACUUACUUACCGUAACUUACUGGGUGUAACUGUAACUUACUUACCAUAGCUUACAGGGCGUAACUGUAACUUACUUACCAUAGCUUACAGGGCGUGACUGUAACUUACUUAUCUUGACCUAUUGGGCGUAACCUACUUACUGGACGUAGCCUGCUUACUGGGCUUAACUUACUUACUGGGCGUAACAUGCUUACUGUAACUUAAGUAUGUUGAUCUGGCAUAAACAACUUUAACUUCAGAAAAGUAUAUAGUGAAACACAUUGCAAAAAUAAAAUUGCUGCAUGAGCAUAGCGCAUGUAGCCCUCCAGACCUCGCCUUUUCUAUCUCCUUUUUUUCCGGCGUGUGCUCUCUUUCAGGUUUGGGACCCUCUCGCUGGACGAGAUUCCCAGGCUCACAUUCAGUUCACAACAGCUGGCGCCCAAUGUGGGGCGAGUCAGUUCACAACAGCUGGCGCCCGGAACGUGGGGCCUGGACACGAGGGACAACCGUGAUGCCUACAAACUAUAGAGGUGAAGCUGCAGAGUAAAACUUGAUCUCUAAUAAACAUCCUGCACCUCAAAAGUCAUCCCAUCAUCUGCUUCUGGAGAGUCUAACUUGCAACAUCUUCCAUGGUGUAUUAAUCGAGAUUUUCCAGAGAAGCAGAACCAAUAGGAAAUACAUUUAGGGAGAUUUAUUUAUCAUGGGAAUUGGCUCACACAAUUAUGGAAGCUGAGAAGUUCCACGAUCUGCCAUCCACAAGCUGGAGACCCAGAAACACUGAUGUUAUAAGUCCUGGUCUGAGUCCAAUGACCCAGGAGCCAGGAGUGCUGAUGUUCAAGGGGCAGGAGAAGAGGGAUGUCCCAGCUCAAGGACAGAGAGAGCACCUCCUACAGGCAGAGCCCAAGAGGGAGCAGCUGGCAAAGCAGAAAUGUGGUUUGCAAAAUCCCAGCCCUAGCAUCAUAAAGAUCCAUGAUGUGGGUGGGCUUCGUCCAAUCAGUUGAAGGCCAGAAAGGAGCAAAAAGACCAGCCUCCUUGAGCAAGAGGAAUUCUCCAGAAUACCCUGCCUUCAGACUUCAUCUGCAGCUUCAGCUCUCCUGGGUCUCCACCUACCAGCCCACACUGCAGAUUUUGGACUUGCUGGCCUCCAUAACCAUAUGAUCCAAUUCCUUCUA